UGUGUGCCGGGUCCGCUCUCUCCCAGUCCGGACGUUAUUGUGCUUUUCGUUCCGGAAUAGGAGGGUCGGGGGCCGAGGCUUUUUCGCCUUUCCUUCCUCCCCAUGGCUUCCGCAGCUAUGGACCUUAACAGCCUCUGCCGCCUCUGCGGAGCUGCACGGCCACUACCUCGGCUCUAGGACGUGCGCUCCUCUACCAGAAGCCCUUCGGACGGACGGAGGCAAUUAACAAACACUGCAAUGGAAAGCAAGUGCUGUGGCCGCCCCGUGUUCUGCUCCUGGUCAACAAUGUAUACAUUCCUGCUAGGCACCGUAUUCAUUGCCUUAAGUUCAAGUCGAAUCCUACUGGUAAAAUAUUCGGCCAAUGAAGAAAACAAGUAUGAUUAUCUUCCAACUACCGUGAAUGUGUGCUCAGAAUUGGUGAAGCUAGUUUUCUGUGUGCUUGUGUCAUUCUGGGUUGUAAAGAAAGAAGAUCAUCAGAGUAGAAACUUGAGAUGUGCUUCCUGGAAGGAAUUCUGUAAUUUCAUGAAGUGGUCCAUUCCUGCCUUUCUUUAUUUCCUGGAUAAUUUGAUUGUCUUCUAUGUCAUUUCCUACCUUCAGCCUGCCAUGGCUGUUAUCUUCUCAAAUUUUAGCAUUAUAACAACAGCUCUUCUAUUCAGGAUAGUGCUGAAGAGGCAUCUAAGUUGGAUACAAUGGGCUUCCCUCCUGAUUCUGUUCCUGUCCAUUGUGGCUCUCACUGCUGGGACCGAAACGUCCCAGCAUAACCUGGCAGGGCAUGGAUUUCAUCACGAUGCCUUCUUCAGCCCAUCCAAUUCCUGCCUUCUUUUCAGAAGUGAGUGUCCCAGAAAAGACAACUGCACGGAAAAGGCAUGGACUUUUCCUGAAGCUAAGUGGAACACCACAGCCAUGGUUUUUAGCCACAUCCGUCUCGGCUUGGGCCAUGUGCUGAUCAUCGUCCAGUGUUUUAUUUCUUCAAUGGCCAACAUCUAUAAUGAAAAGAUACUGAAGGAAGGGAACCAGCUCACCGAAAGCAUCUUCAUACAGAACAGCAAACUCUAUUUCUUUGGCAUCCUUUUUAAUGGACUGACGCUGGGCCUUCAGGGCAGUAACCGUAAUCAGAUUAAGAACUGCGGAGUUUUCUAUGGCCACAAUGUGUUUUCAGUUGCUCUUAUUUUUGUGACUGCAUUCCAGGGCCUCUCCGUGGCUUUUAUCCUGAAGUUCCUGGAUAACAUGUUCCAUGUCUUGAUGGCCCAGGUCACCACUGUCAUCAUCACAACAGUGUCUGUGCUGGUCUUUGACUUCAGGCCCUCCCUAGAAUUUUUCUUAGAAGCUCCCUCAGUUCUUCUCUCCAUAUUUAUUUACAAAGCCAGCAAGCCUCAAGGUCUGGAAUAUGCACCUAGGCAAGAAAGAGUCCGAGAUCUAGGCGGCAGUCUUUGGGAGCGCUCCUCUGGGGAUGGAGAAGAACUGGAGAGACUUACCAAACCGAAAAGUGAUAUUGAAUCAGAUGAAGAUACUUUUUAAUUGGUACCGAAAUGAUUGACAACUCUCAGAAACCCUUAUUUUCACAUUUUCAGCAUGUGUGAUGUUUAUCUUUUCACUUUGAUAAACAAGAACAUUUCUCAAGCAUAAUAACUGUUUGCAUAUAUCUAACCACUCCCUGAAUAGUUCCAUCCAAGGCUUAGAGUCCCCAAAGGCUAAAAUGUUCUAAAGAACUGAUGGGAGUAAUAGUCUGGAGACUGCAUUAAUGGUACUUGGGAAAGGGUGUUUACAAAUGAAUUAAUGCCACCAUAUUCCCGUGGAUAUGUAGACAACUUCUUAAAUCUGGGAGAGGGAAGUUCCCAGAAGAAACGGUGCUUGCAUUCUAUUGUGGAUCAGGACUUGCCAAAUUUGGGGGCCUCUGCCUACCCUGCCCUACUUUGAAUCUCUAAGGAGUGUUUAUCACAAGGAAAUAAGCUAAAGAUAGAAAAGAGGACUGAAGGAGACAAAUGGAAUGAUGGUGAAGUCUACAGGAGGAAUUUAUUCUUUCUCUAACAUUUUGGGAAGGUAAGCAAGCCUUGCUUCCAAAGAUUGGCAGUCUUCCAGAAGUGGUUUGUUCCCUACCUCUCUGCUUCAAGGAUUUCCUUUUGCACUUUUAGAUUUCUUAGAAAGGGUGGCACCUAUAGCCUACCGGUUGUAGCCUGAGCUGGAAUGGAUCAUGGGAAAGUGGCCUGGAAAAGGGCCAAGUGAGAGGAAAAAGAUUCUUAUGGUGGAGGUGGAAAGCCAAAGAAAAUUUUGCCCAGGGUCAGUUUUAGCUACUUAAAAUCAUCCCAUCCCUUCACCCAACAUCUUUGCCACAUGUAUCAACCGAUAGAUUGGAGGAAUGAAGAUCACUCUUUUGCUUUCUAGAAGGAAAGUGCUAAUAUUUAAGGUCUCUGCAGUCUGUUCAAGGAUAGCCCAGUUUGUUCAACUUCGGGAUAUCAGAGAGGUGAUGCAUGUGGUUGCCACAUUAGGAAAUUGUGUCAGAGAACAAGCAUAUGCCUUGUUGGAGGGACUCCAUCAAUGUUCAGGAUGCUCAGUCCUUGACAGCUUGAAUGUCCUUGGAAGUUCCAUUCUGGCUGUAUGGAGAUGAUGAGGUUUCCUGUGUUCAGAGGUGAUGAACCUGUUGGGUUCAGCUGCCCCAAUGCACCAUGCUGGAAAGAAGUUAUUCAAUAUAUUGCCCUAUUCCCAUAAACAUCUAAAAGUGGAAUCUGAACUAUGAAGUUUGGGUUCUCUAAGAAUUUAACAUUAGCUCUACCAUAGGAAACCUCUGAGUUUAGGAUCCUGCUCCUAAAGGCCAAGAAAGAUUCAUAAACACCAUGGAGUUAGAUGAUAACUUAGAUAUCUAUUACUACUCUCUCAUUUUGUAGAUCAGGAACUGAGUCCCAAAAGUAAAGUGACUUGCCUCAGGUCAGUCACACAGAUCAGUCUGUGGCAGAGUGAGGACCAACCAUUUUCCCAAGUCUGGUGGCCAUUUUAUGACAUUCUUGACUUCUGUGACAGCUGGCCCUUUGCCUCUCACUGCCCUAAACUUGGUUCUUAAUAACAUGUCCAAAACUAAGAAAAGUUUGGCAUUGGGAGAUUUGCACCAACUAUGAGAGAACUGAAGAGAAGUAGUUAGCAUUUAACUGUGCUUCAUUUUGUCAUGAAGUUAAGAGUACUCAUCAACCACACCCCACUAUCUGCACACCCCAAACCAUUGAGUACAGAGCAGCCAAGGAGAAUGGAGGAAAGGAAAGCAAUCCUACAGGGAAAGGGGAGUUAGUAGUGGCAGAAAAACAGAGAUUCUUUUCAAGAGGUUUUUUUUUUCUUUCUGGAAUUUCCUUAUGUUAUUGAAUACUGAGAUCAUCAAUUAGGGGCCGUAAAGCCAUCAUUCACCCUGGUCUUGAGUUGUUUUUUUAUCACCAAGGAUCUACAAGUUGAGAAGGUAUGUGAACUUCAAUGUUAACUAUACUCCAAAAAAUGAGACCAGCUGGAUUCUACUGAUUCCACUGUGUGUGGACUGCCUGCCUCUGUAUCCAGGGAAGGAUCUCUCUGCCGAAUAUUCAUCUCAGAGCCCUGCGAUUUCUCCAGCGAAAAACAAUUCCUGGAAAUUCACGAAAGUGAAUUGUGACAAUCAGCAACUUUGUCCUCCUCAGAGUCUUCCAGAUUUCUCUCACUCUACUGGGUACUUUUUAAUCUAAAUAUUGUAAUUCCAUAAUAAUUCUCAAAAACUUUAUCUUCUUUGUUGCUGCUGUUUGGAAGGAAACACUUUCAUCAAAAAAAAACCAAAAACAAACAAAAAAAAAAAAAACCCCAGAUUUCAAAUGAUCUGAUCUGUACUCCCAGAAGACAGAGAUUCAGGUGAUCUAACUCUCUUAUCCUCCCAUUUACUGAAAUGUACUUUGUGCUUUUCCAGAUUAUAGAAAUCGAGGACAUUUCCCAACAGUGUUUUCCUCUGCAUGUGUCUCAGUCCCUUUGCUGAGCUAUGGCUUAUUCUACAGCACCCAAAUGAUGAUUCAUGGCUUCUAGGCCAUGAAAGGAAAGAGAGUUCAGACACACUGCUAUUUCAGUGCCAGUGAAAAGUAAUCUCAGAUUAUGAAAAAGUAUUGUCUUCUUUGGUUGCCGAAACUAGAACUUUGCUAAUAUUAUUCUUUAAGUAAAUUGUCUAUGAUUAUCCAAUUGGUUUCCUUGGGAGAUGAAACUCCUUCAUUAUUGUAUUUCCUGAAAUCGAGACUAUUUAGACCUCGUACUUAAAAAUUGUCCCUAUAUAAUUUCAGAAGCAAUGGUAAAUAAAUCCAUUUUUUAUUGGCAAUUUUAAGCUAUGCAUCACCUUGGCAAAUAUUUAAGAGCAAGUACAUCAUCCUGGUCCUCCUACCAGCACACUUUGAGCAGCUGGUGUAGACUGUUCUAAAAAGAGAGAGGGGGAUCCCUGGGUGGCACAGCGGUUUAGCACCUGCCUUUGGCCCAAGACGCGAUCCUGGAGACCCGGGAUCGAAUCCCACGUCGGGCUCCCGGUGCAUGGAGCCUGCUUCUUCCUCUGCCUGUGUCUCUGCCUCUCUCUCUCUGUGUGUGACUAU